rnacentral:pre_miRNA from 1 species
GCAUGCUCGGCUUCCUGAAUGCCGGUGGGCCGGCAUUCAGGAAGCCGAGCAUGC